CUCCCUAGCUUGUUGCGCCGUCCGGUUCUGCCCCAGCCUUAGAUCUCAGCUCUGAGCUGCCCUCACAUCCCUGCAGAUCUUUUCUGGCCACACUGGUGGCCCGCGGGGUAUGGCUGCUUCCGUCUCGCGGCGUUGGCCUCCCUGACUGGCCGCCGGUGUAGGGCGCCGUGGGCGGGGUCCCUGGGGCGAGGCUGCCUGGCCUCCGCGGUUGGUUCGGCGGCCGCGGGGCUGCAGCUCCCGGCUCGCACUCCAUCAUCGACGGAUGACAGCGGGAACGGUGGGAGUUCAUUACAGGGACCAUGAAUUGUUGGAGGAUGUCAAGCAGUGCCCCCAAAAGCUGUCAAGGCCGUCCUAGACCAGCGGGGCCUCAGGAGAUGGUGCAGAGUCCUGGACCAGACAAACGGCACUGGGAAAGCAGGAGCCCAAAGGAAGGCUGGAAUUCAGGGAAGAGCCACGUGCCAGGCUGUGACGAAGGCGACAAGAUGAAACAGUAGGGGGGCGGGGGAGGCAUCCAAACUCUAUGUGCUGUCUUUGCACUACUCUGUAAAUCUAACAUUAUUCGGAAGUGAAAGUUAAAAAUCACUCCGGCUCUGGUGUGCAGUGUGGCUGCUGGGAAGGAGGGGAAGAGUUG
rnacentral:lncRNA from 10 species